rnacentral:piRNA from 1 species
UGUGUAUUUGGUGGUGUUUAAAACAAUGU